UUGAUCUGAAAUCAGGUGGGAUUACCCGCUGAACUUAAGCAUAUCAAUAAGCGGAGGAAAAGAAAAUAACAAUGAUUUCCCUAGUAACGGCGAGUGAAGAGGAAAGAGCUCAAAGUUGGAACCUGUUUGGCUUAGCUAAACCGGAUUGUAAACUGUAGAAGUGUUUUCCAGGCACGCCAGGUAAAAAAGUCCUUUGGAACAGGGCAUCAUAGAGGGUGAGAAUCCCGUCUUUGGCCUGAGCUGUUGCCUUUUGUGAUACAUUUUCAAAGAGUCAGGUUGUUUGGGAAUGCAGCCUAAAUUGGGUGGUAAAUCUCACCUAAAGCUAAAUAUUUGCGAGAGACCGAUAGCGAACAAGUACCGUGAGGGAAAGAUGAAAAGAACUUUGAAAAGAGAGUUAAACAGUAUGUGAAAUUGUUAAAAGGGAACCGUUUGGAGCCAGACUGGCUUGACUGUAAUCAAUCUAGGCUUCGGCCUGGAUGCACUUGCGGUCUAUGCCUGCCAACGACAGUUUUAUUUGGGGGAAAAAAUUAUUAGGAAUGUGGCCCUUCGGGGUGUUAUAGCCUUUUAAAAAAUACCCUGGAUUGGACUGAGGAACGCAGUGAAUGCCUUUAGGCAAGAUUGCUGAGUGCUUUCGCUAAUAAAUGCUAGAAUUUCUGCUUCGGGUGGUGCUAGUGUUUAAAGGCGGAACUCGCUUGGUAUAUUUUUUAUUCGCUUAGGUUGUUGGCUUAAUGACUCUAAAUGACCCGUCUUGAAACACGGACCAAGGAGUCCACCAUAAGUGCAAGUAUUUGGGUGCCAAACCCAUAUGCGCAAGGAAACUGAUUGAUACGAAAUCUUACGAUGGCAGUAUCACCCGGCGUUGACGUUUUAUACUGAACUGACCGAGGUAAAGCACUUAUGAUGGGACCCGAAAGAUGGUGAACUAUGCCUGAAUAGGGUGAAGCCGGAGGAAACUCCGGUGGAGGCUCGUAGCGAUUCUGACGUGCAAAUCGAUCGUCAAAUUUGGGUAUAGGGG
rnacentral:rRNA from 1 species